GACUGGAUAAAGAAAAUGUGGUACAUAUAUACCAUGGAAUACUAUGCAGCCAUAAAAAAGAAUAAAAUCUUUUCCUUUGCAGCAACAUGGAUGCAGCUGGAGGCCAUUAUCCUAAGUGAAUUAACAGGAACAGAGAACUGAAUACCGCCAUGUUCUCACUUAUAAGUGAGACCUAAACAGAGUUCACAUGGACACAAAGAAGGGAACAAUAGAUACCGGGGCCUACUUGAAGGUGGAGAGUAGGAGGAGGGUGAGAAUCAAAAAACUACAUAUCUGAUACUAUGCUCACUAACUGGGUGAUGAAAUAAUUUGUACACCAAACCCCAGCCACAUACAAUUUACCCAUGCAGUAAACCUGCACAUGUAUCCCCUGAACCUAAAAUAAAAAUUGGAAGUAAACAAAAAUAAAAAUGGAAAAUGGCAAUUAUUAAAAAAAAAAAGAAAAAGAAAAAGAAAAUGGAACCAAAGGGAUUGUUUGAAUGGCAUGCAAGAGAACAAAGGGACAGAGAGUGGCAAUUGGGGGUUACCAGAUGCAGAAAUCUGUAGUAUUACAUAGUUCAGGGAGCCUGAACCAAGGUUGUGGUGAUGGAGAUGGACUGAAGAGUCAUUUUAAGGCAGAUUUGAUAGGGCUUGGCAACUGACUGGUAGGGAAAGAGCUUCCUGUUGUCACUUAAUGGUGAAAUACAUAUCCCUACAUUCCCAGCCACAGACUUCAUCUCAGCAAAUACACUUUUAAUGAUUGGUCGGUAUUUACUUAACAUCUUCACUUUACCAAGAAAUAUGAAUUGGCUUCAUCUUUGAAGAAGCAUGAGUUCCUGGGCCUCUCUGACUUAUAAGAUUGGUGUUGAGAUACAGUUAUUGAUGU
rnacentral:lncRNA from 10 species